AGCAUGCAAGUCAAACGGGAUGUAGCAAUACAUUCAGUGGCGAACGGGUGAGUAACGCGUGGAUGAUCUACCUAUGAGAUGGGGAUAACUAUUAGAAAUAGUAGCUAAUACCGAAUAAGGUCAGUUAAUUUGUUAAUUGAUGAAAGGAAGCCUUUAAAGCUUCGCUUGUAGAUGAGUCUGCGUCUUAUUAGCUAGUUGGUAGGGUAAAUGCCUACCAAGGCAAUGAUAAGUAACCGGCCUGAGAGGGUGAACGGUCACACUGGAACUGAGAUACGGUCCAGACUCCUACGGGAGGCAGCAGCUAAGAAUCUUCCGCAAUGGGCGAAAGCCUGACGGAGCGACACUGCGUGAAUGAAGAAGGUCGAAAGAUUGUAAAAUUCUUUUAUAAAUGAGGAAUAAGCUUUGUAGGAAAUGACAAAGUGAUGACGUUAAUUUAUGAAUAAGCCCCGGCUAAUUACGUGCCAGCAGCAGCGGUAAUACG
rnacentral:rRNA from 1 species